rnacentral:tRNA from 1 species
ACCUGGGUGGCUUAGUUGGUUAAGCAUCUGACUUUGGCUCAGUCAUGAUCUCACAGUUUGUGAGUUUGAGUCCUGCAUUGGGUGAGUUCAAGCCCCGCUUUGGGUG